rnacentral:rRNA from 1 species
GAUGAACGCUGGCGGCGUGCUUAACACAUGCAAGUCGAACGGUGAAGCAGGAGCUUGCUCUUGUGGAUCAGUGGCGAACGGGUGAGUAACACGUGAGCAACCUGCCCCUGACUCUGGGAUAAGCGCUGGAAACGGCGUCUAAUACUGGAUAUGUGAUGUGACCGCAUGGUCUGCAUCUGGAAAGAAUUUCGGUUGGGGAUGGGCUCGCGGCCUAUCAGCUUGUUGGUGAGGUAAUGGCUCACCAAGGCGUCGACGGGUAGCCGGCCUGAGAGGGUGGCCGGCCACACUGGGACUGAGACACGGGCCAGACUCCUACGGGAGGCAGCAGUGGGGAAUAUUGCACAAUGGGCGGAAGCCUGACGCAGCAACGCCGCGUGAGGGAUGACGGCCUUCGGGUUGUAAACCUCUUUUAGCAGGGAAGAAGCGAAAGUGACGGUACCUGCAGAAAAAGCACCGGCUAACUACGUGCCAGCCGCCGCCGUAA